CGAAAUACUCAUCGAAACAUUUAGUAGCUGGUUCCUUUCGAAGUUUCUCCCAGGAUAGCUGUGUUUUAUUAAAGAGUCUUGCCAUGUAAAGCGAACGUUUAGAAGAUUUGGGGAUAACUUUUCCUCUGCUUAUUCACGAACUUUAAAUGGGCACGAAAAAAAGUUUACUUAAUUUUGAAACUUUUAUUGGAUCGAAAAAAACAUUAGUGGGCCUCUUCUGGUAAGCAGGACGGGCGAGGUGGGAUGCUCCAAGUGUUGUUGGUUAAAGUGCCAAAGUGUUCGCUAAUCUAGAUACCAAAAAAGGCGUUUUGUUUCAUAGACAGUUGGGCUGUGGCCAUGGAAGCAGGAAUCAGCCAAGGAAUGCGUAAUAGCUCACCAGCCGAGAGACAAAGCCCUGAAAAUUCAUGGCGCUAAAGCGAACGUGUUUUAAACAAAAAAACAACUUAUACCAAACUGAAAAAUUGAAAAAAGAAUGCAAAUUUUCAAGUAGAAAGGCGC
rnacentral:rRNA from 1 species